AUCACUUCUUGGCCCUUUAGCUAAGAUCAAGUGUAGUACCUGUUUUUAUCAGUUUAAUAUCUGAUAUGUUCUCUACGUGAGGACAAUAUAUUAAAUGGAUUUUUGGACUUGGAAGAAGGACCACGCACCNNNN
rnacentral:snRNA from 1 species